GAAACCAUGUCCGUGUUCUCGGAUCUGACCGUGAAGGAAAACCUGAUUCUCGCCGCGCGUGAAGGGCCGCUCGACGACACGCGGCUGCAAUGGAUCUUCGGAUUCUUUCCUGCNAAACGCUUUUGGCUGUCGCGUGCGGGAUCGCUAUCCGGCGGACAGAAGCAGAUGCUGUCCAUCGCCCGCGCCAUCGUCGAGCCGCGCAAGCUGCUCUUGAUCGAUGAACCGACCAAGGGUCUUGCACCCGCCAUCGUGGUGAACCUGAUCGAGUGCUUCGCUGAACUCAAAAAGCG
rnacentral:misc_RNA from 1 species